rnacentral:rRNA from 1 species
AGGUAGGGAUACCCGCUGAACUUAAGCAUAUCAAUAAGCGGGAGGA